rnacentral:rRNA from 1 species
CCUACGGGGGGCUGCAGUGGGGAAUAUUGGACAAUGGGCGAAAGCCUGAUCCAGCCAUGCCGCGUGUGUGAAGAAGGCCUUCGGGUUGUAAAGCACUUUCAGUGGGGAAGAAAGCCUUGGGGCUAAUACCCUCGAGGAAGGACAUCACCCACAGAAGAAGCACCGGCUAACUCCGUGCCAGCAGCCGCGGUAAUACGGAGGGUGCGAGCGUUAAUCGGAAUUACUGGGCGUAAAGCGCGCGUAGGCGGUCUGAUAAGCCGGUUGUGAAAGCCCCGGGCUCAACCUGGGAACGGCAUCCGGAACUGUCAGGCUAGAGUGCAGGAGAGGAAGGUAGAAUUCCCGGUGUAGCGGUGAAAUGCGUAGAGAUCGGGAGGAAUACCAGUGGCGAAGGCGGUCUUCUGGACUGACACUGACGCUGAGGUGCGAAAGCGUGGGUAGCAAACAGGAUUAGAUACCCUUGUAGUC